GACGAACGCUGGCGGCGUGCCUAAUACAUGCAAGUAGAACGCUGAAGGAGGAGCUUGCUCUUCUGGAUGAGUUGCGAACGGGUGAGUAACGCGUAGGUAACCUGCCUGGUAGCGGGGGAUAACUAUUGGAAACGAUAGCUAAUACCGCAUAAUAGUAGAUGUUGCAUGACAUUUGCUUAAAAGGUGCAAUUGCAUCACUACCAGAUGGACCUGCGUUGUAUUAGCUAGUUGGUGGGGUAACGGCUCACCAAGGCGACGAUACAUAGCCGACCUGAGAGGGUGAUCGGCCACACUGGGACUGAGACACGGCCCAGACUCCUACGGGAGGCAGCAGUAGGGAAUCUUCGGCAAUGGACGGAAGUCUGACCGAGCAACCCCGCGUGAGUGAAGAAGGUUUUCGGAUUGUAAAGCUCUGUUGUAAGAGAAGAACGAGUGUGAGAGUGGAAAGUUC
rnacentral:rRNA from 1 species